UUGACGAGAGUACAUCUUGCUGACACUUGCUUUUGUGUCCCAGUCCCAGAGCCUGUAAAGGUGAACCCACUGGAGCUGGCUGGGGGAGAAGAGAAAGGCUUGUUCANUUUUUUCUAU
rnacentral:snoRNA from 1 species